GGCAACCUGGCCGAGCGGUCUAAGGCGCCAGGUUAAGGUCACACCUUGACGCAAUAUCCUGGUCUCUUCGGAGGCGAGAGUUCGAAUCUCUCGGUUGUCA
rnacentral:tRNA from 2 species